UUCCUGAGAGGAGAGAUGGGUGCAGGCGUUGCUUGGGUGAAGUCACCUGGGAGAGUUUGGGGCACCAUGGAUGAGCGUGGUCUUCUCAUUUGAUCUCACAGCCAUUAUUACUGGUUUGACAGAAAGAUGAUAUGCCCUCGAGCUGAGCUGUCUCCCAACUAGAUAAUUACACAAAAACAAGCAAGUGGAUUCCCACAGCUGGAGGAAGUACCUCUAUUGAGGAUCACUUGUGGAAUAGUCUGUCUGCAGGUGUUAAGAAAUCCCUCAGAGCAGUGAAAAUUACCCCCAUACAGAAAACCUCAAGUUGAGAUGUGGGUUUCUCAUCCCCCAUUUGUGACCUGGCAUCAGAACAGUGGUAAGACUCUAACACUGAGAGUAACAGUCCUCAGGUUCCCCAUGCAAGCCUGUCAUUUGGCAGAGCAGGGCCACUUUGUCAACACCUGAGUUGUCGCCGCAUCUAAAGAGCAAAGCUCAAGACCUCCAGUGCCAAGAUGGAUAUGCAAGUUACCAAGUUCCAAAGCCAGGUCUGUGGGUAAUGCCCAUGUCUGUUUGUUUGGGGUUUUGCAUUGUCUUUGGUUUUGACACAGGGUUCCACUGCACAGCCCAGGCCGGCCUUGAACUCAUGGCCAUUCCUGUCUCAAUCCCCAGUACAGGGAUUACUGCCAUGGACCAUCACAUCCUAGCUGGACAUUUGUUUUCUUUACUUCAGUCAAAUAAUAGCAGCCUUGAAGUGAUCCUUCAUAUAUAAUUAAAUUUCAUUAAUUUAAAUUGUUAGAGUUACUUUUUAAAUUUUGUAUAAUUUAUUUCUUUCUUUGUUGUUUUCUUUGUUUUGUUUUAAGACAUGGUUUCCCUGUGUAGCCCUGACUGUCCUGGAACUCACUCUGUAGGCCAGGCUGGCCUCAGACUCACAGAGAUCCACCUGCCUUUGCCUCCCUAUGCUGGAUCUAGAGGCAUGAGCCACCACUGCCUGGCUGAUUUAUUUCUUUAAAUAAACAAGAAAUACUGGUUUAAAAUGAGAAGAAAUUCAGCUUUAUUGAGCAUUUACUUUUCAAAUAUGAAGGAAAUCAGUAGUCACUGCAGUAAAAAGAAAUUAUACAUAAAAGUUUUAUAUGCAAAUUGCUUAGAUUUUUUUUUUUUCAAGAAACUAAGCUAAAGAAGUAUACAACUCAUCAGGUUCAUUAUUUUGGUCAAUAAACCAAAAAUGUUUAGAAAUGCCAACUGAAUUGUGUAAUAUAAUGUCUCGAAAAACAGUCAGGGAUGGGGCAAGAGUGUGGGGUUUUGUUUGUUUGUUUGUAUGGUUGGUUGGUUGGUUGCUUGCUUGCUUGCUUUGGUUUCUGUUUUUUCUCUUUAGUACCAAACAGUAAGAAGUCUGUCACUUGAAUAUGCCACAGUCUUAUCUGUCCCUUGAUUAUUUCCAAGGUUUUCGUGAUCCUGAGCAGAGCUCCUUCUUCUACUCCCUUUUCUCUUGUUGUGAUAGAACACCUACACUUUAACACAGCAACUUAGAGCAGAAAGGGUUUAUCACAGUUCCAGUCAUAGACCGUUUUGAGGAAGCAGCAGGUCACGUAACAUCCACAGCCCAGAGUAGAGAGAAGUGAACUCAUGCAUGCUUCAGUGCCUCCCUCACUUUCUUGCUCACACACACUCCUGGGCCCAAAGCUUGGGACUGGUUCCACCACAAACGUGUCAGGUCUUCCCACCCCAUCCAACCCCACUAGAAACUUCCUGGAAGACACGUCCUCAGUCCAAUCUGAUCUAGACAAGCCAUUUCUGAGAUUUGUUUCCCAGAUGACUCUAUGUUAUGUCAAGUUGGCCAUUAGACCUAACCAUACCAGUUACUAUAAACAUUAUGUGCUGGUUUCCCUGUGAACAUAAAUCUUCACUAUUUGGGGCAGAUAGCAAGAAGCAUGGUCAGCAAGGAAGAGCCUGUUGUUUCUGUGAUGCACCAUGAAACCAUGACCUAGCAUCUCCAUCCCUGUGGCAACUCCACAGCUCAGCCAGCAUCCUUGCUGAACUGAUGCUCUUUUCUCCACAUUGCCUUGAGUGGAACAAAUCAGUUUUGCUCUUGCAAUAUUCAAAGGAUAAUUGGGAAUUUUCUUAGGCAUGUAUGAUGUAAUUUUAGACUCCCAAUUCUAGGGAAAGAAAAAGAAACUCCUAAGCCCAGAAAUACCUUCCAUAUGUUUUCACUGAAUCUUUUCAGCAGCCUUGAGCACCAUGAGCAGAGUUGAAUGAAAGGUGAGGAGACUCAGGGUCAGUUGUGUUUAAAUGCCUGACCACAGAGCCACCGUGUUGCCUUCUAGGAGAACUGAACACUACCAAGUCUGAGACCCUGGGACCCUUAAUUUUGCUACUGUACUUGAGUGUGUUUAGCAUUUUAUCACUCAGGAAGUCAAAUGGACUGAGUGAGAGUCAAAGUGUAAUUAAAGGUAUUUUCCAAUAACACCACCAAAUGUAUUGUUUUAAAAUAAAAAUAUAGAGAAUUAAGAUGAGGUUUUAAUUUCCUUUUGCUUGUUUGCUUUUGUCAUUUGCUGUACUUUUGUGUAGCUCAGGCUAGCCUGGAACUCACAGAGGUCUACCUGCCUCUGCCUCCUGAGUGCUGGAAUUAAAGAAAUUUGACACCACACCUGGCAGGAUUUCACUUUUAUAAAACC
rnacentral:lncRNA from 1 species